UACGGGGGAUGCGAGCGUUAUCCGGAUUUAUUGGGUUUAAAGGGUGCGUAGGCGGCGCUUCAGGUCAGCGGUGAAAUACCGGGGCUCAACCCCGGGACUGCAUUGGGAACUGCCCCGCUCGAGUGCCGGAGGGGCAGGCGGAAUUCCUAGUGUAGCGGUGAAAUGCGUAGAUAUUAGGAGGAACACCAGUGGCGAAGGCGGCCUGCUGGACGGUGUACUGACGCUGAGGCUCGAAAGCGUGGGUAUCGAACAGG
rnacentral:rRNA from 1 species